CAAAGUCAUGGUUAAGUGGGAAACGAUGUGGGAAGGCCCAGACAGCCAGGAUGUUGGCUUAGAAGCAGCCAUCAUUUAAAGAAAGCGUAAUAGCUCACUGGUCGAGUCGGCCUGCGCGGAAGAUGUAACGGGGCUAAACCAUGCACCGAAGCUGCGGCAGCGACACUAUGUGUUGUUGGGUAGGGGAGCGUUCUGUAAGCCUGUGAAGGUGUGCUGUGAGGCAUGCUGGAGGUAUCAGAAGUGCGAAUGCUGACAUAAGUAACGAUAAAGCGGGUGAAAAGCCCGCUCGCCGGAAGACCAAGGGUUCCUGUCCAACGUUAAUCGGGGCAGGGUGAGUCGACCCCUAAGGCGAGGCCGAAAGGCGUAGUCGAUGGGAAACAGGUUAAUAUUCCUGUACUUGGUGUUACUGCGAAGGGGGGACGGAGAAGGCUAUGUUGGCCGGGCGACGGUUGUCCCGGUUUAAGCGUGUAGGCUGGUUUUCCAGGCAAAUCCGGAAAAUCAAGGCUGAGGCGUGAUGACGAGGCACUACGGUGCUGAAGCAACAAAUGCCCUGCUUCCAGGAAAAGCCUCUAAGCAUCAGGUAACAUCAAAUCGUACCCCAAACCGACACAGGUGGUCAGGUAGAGAAUACCAAGGCGCUUGAGAGAACUCGGGUGAAGGAACUAGGCAAAAUGGUGCCGUAACUUCGGGAGAAGGCACGCUGAUAUGUAGGUGAAGCGACUUGCUCGUGGAGCUGAAAUCAGUCGAAGAUACCAGCUGGCUGCAACUGUUUAUUAAAAACACAGCACUGUGCAAACACGAAAGUGGACGUAUACGGUGUGACGCCUGCCCGGUGCCGGAAGGUUAAUUGAUGGGGUUAGCGCAAGCGAAGCUCUUGAUCGAAGCCCCGGUAAACGGCGGCCGUAACUAUAACGGUCCUAAGGUAGCGAAAUUCCUUGUCGGGUAAGUUCCGACCUGCACGAAUGGCGUAAUGAUGGCCAGGCUGUCUCCACCCGAGACUCAGUGAAAUUGAACUCGCUGUGAAGAUGCAGUGUACCCGCGGCAAGACGGAAAGACCCCGUGAACCUUUACUAUAGCUUGACACUGAACAUUGAGCCUUGAUGUGUAGGAUAGGUGGGAGGCUUUGAAGUGUGGACGCCAGUCUGCAUGGAGCCGACCUUGAAAUACCACCCUUUAAUGUUUGAUGUUCUAACGUUGACCCGUAAUCCGGGUUGCGGACAGUGUCUGGUGGGUAGUUUGACUGGGGCGGUCUCCUCCUAAAGAGUAACGGAGGAGCACGAAGGUUGGCUAAUCCUGGUCGGACAUCAGGAGGUUAGUGCAAUGGCAUAAGCCAGCUUGACUGCGAGCGUGACGGCGCGAGCAGGUGCGAAAGCAGGUCAUAGUGAUCCGGUGGUUCUGAAUGGAAGGGCCAUCGCUCAACGGAUAAAAGGUACUCCGGGGAUAACAGGCUGAUACCGCCCAAGAGUUCAUAUCGACGGCGGUGUUUGGCACCUCGAUGUCGGCUCAUCACAUCCUGGGGCUGAAGUAGGUCCCAAGGGUAUGGCUGUUCGCCAUUUAAAGUGGUACGCGAGCUGGGUUUAGAACGUCGUGAGACAGUUCGGUCCCUAUCUGCCGUGGGCGCUGGAGAACUGAGGGGGGCUGCUCCUAGUACGAGAGGACCGGAGUGGACGUAUCACUGGUGUUCGGGUUGUCAUGCCAAUGGCACUGCCCGGUAGCUAAAUGCGGAAGAGAUAAGUGCUGAAAGCAUCUAAGCACGAAACUUGCCCCGAGAUGAGUUCUCCCUGACUCCUUGAGAGUCCUGAAGGAACGUUGAAGACGACGACGUUGAUAGGCCGGGUGUGUAAGCGCAGCGAUGCGUUGAGCUAACCGGUACUAAUGAACCGUGAGGCUUAACCU
rnacentral:rRNA from 1 species